GUUGUUGCGACAGCAUUCCUGCGUAGUACGAGAGGAACCGCAGGUACGGACCAAUGGCACAAUACUUGUUCGAGCGAACAGUGGUAUGACGCUACGUCCGUUGGAUUAUGCCUGAACGCCUCUAAGGUCGUAUCCGUGCUGGACUGCAAUGAUAAAUAAGGGGCAAUUUGCAUUGUAUGGCUUCUAAACCAUUAAAAGUUUUUAAUUUGUUUUAUUAACGACAAUGGAUGUGAUGCCAAUGUUAUUUAUAACAUAGUAAAUUGGGAGGAUCUUCGAUCACCUGAUGCCGCGCUAGUUAUAUUUUAAAACAUUAUUUAAUACAAUGUCAAAGCCUAGAAUCAAUUGUAAACGACUUUUGUACCAGGCAAGGUGUUGUAAGUGGUUGAGCAGCUGCCAUACUGCGAUCCACUGAAGCUUAUCCUUUGCUUGAUGAUUCGA
rnacentral:ncRNA from 1 species